rnacentral:rRNA from 1 species
UCGGGAAUAUUGCGCAAUGGAGGGAACUCUGACGCAGUGACGCCGCGUAUGGGAAGAAGGUUUUCGGAUUGUAAACCAUUUUAGACAGGGAAGAAACAAGACAGUACCUGUAAAAUAAGCUCCGGCUAACUACGUGCCAGCAGCCGCGGUAAUACGUAGGGAGCAAGCGUUAUCCGGAUUUAUUGGGUGUAAAGGGUGCGUAGACGGGAAAGCAAGUUAGUUGUGAAAUCCCUCGGCUUAACUGAGGAACUGCAACUAAAACUGUUUUUCUUGAGUACUGGAGAGGAAAGUGGAAUUCCUAGUGUAGCGGUGAAAUGCGUAGAUAUCACGAAGAACUCCAAUUGCGAAGGCAGCUUGCUGGACUGUAACUGACGCUGAUGCUCGAAAGUGUGGGUAUCAAACA